ACCUCUCAAUGGCAUAUGACUGAGUUGUGGGAGGACUUAUAUGAUUCUACCCUUUUCAUUUUUAUGCUGCUUUGGAG
rnacentral:pre_miRNA from 1 species